GGUUCGUUGGCCGAGUGGUUAGGCAACGGUCUGCAAAACCGUGUACGGCGGUUCAAAUCCGCCACGAACCUCCA
rnacentral:tRNA from 1 species